rnacentral:rRNA from 1 species
ACUCCUACGGGAGGCAGCAGUGGGGAAUAUUGCACAAUGGGCGCAAGCCUGAUGCAGCCAUGCCGCGUGUGUGAAGAAGGCCUUCGGGUUGUAAAGCACUUUCAGUCGUGAGGAAGGUAGUGUAGUUAAUAGCUGCAUUAUUUGUACGUUAGCGACAGAAGAAGCACCGGCUAACUCCGUGCCAGCAGCCGCGGUAAUACGGAGGGUGCGAGCGUUAAUCGGAAUUACUGGGCGUAAAGCGCAUGCAGGUGGUUUGUUAAGUCAGAUGUGAAAGCCCGGGGCUCAACCUCGGAAUAGCAUUUGAAACUGGCAGACUAGAGUACUGUAGAGGGGGUAGAAUUUCAGGUGUAGCGGUGAAAUGCGUAGAGAUCUGAAGGAAUACCGGUGGCGAAGGCGGCCCCUGGACAGAUACUGACACUCAGAUGCGAAAGCGUGGGAGCAAACAGGAUUAGAUACCCC